GCCCGCCCCUCGCUCCGGAGCUCGCGACCCUCUAGGAGACAGAGGAUUUUGCGUCACUUCCGCCGGCCCCUCCUCCCAGCUUUCCCUCGUGCUGCCUCGGCGGGUUGAGCGGGUUUUGUCUUUUGAAUGGGAAUGUCUCACUGGGCUUUCCGUAGGGUUCGUUUCCCCAACCGCAUUAGCUCGGCCCCCUUACCUUCCUAUGUGAAAGUGACAAAUUCAUUGCCACAUUCCGGGAGUUCCGUCUUUCACUUUUGCCUUGACUCUCUUGGCCCCAAGAGAAAAGAGAUGGGUUAAGGAAAAGCACCACUCUCAUAUCUGCACUCUGCUUCAGUCACAAGCUACCACUCUGGCGUAAUAGAUCAAGUCUAACCUCCUCACCGUACACAUGAGGCAUGCUGGAAGUAAAGAGUUCCAGAAAGUUGCCUAAGCCACUGGGAGCUUCUAUGCCUUGACCAGAGUCACAUCAUCAAGAUGCAUCAGAAGUUACAUGCCAAAGAAUCAGAGAUGUGUUGGAACCAGCCUGAACCAGCUAUAGAGAGCCAAUUGUUUAAUUUUUGAUGUGAGCAUUUAUGCCUCAGAAACUAGCAAUACAUAUCAAGGCAUGAUUUAUUGUUUUGUGGAUUGACUAAAGUAAGUGAUGGAGAAAGUGUUAAUAAUGCAGAUUAAACCUAAAAGUGUGUUGAGUAUCUUUUUGCCCCAGAAAGUCAGUUGCUCACCAACACACUCAUGUAAUGGAAUGUACCAUUCUUGAGGGCAGACCCUAUUUUUCAUUUUAACUUUUGAAUCCUCAUUACCUAGUAAAUAGCUUGACUGUAGCAGGGGCUAAAUAAAAGUUUGACAUCACAGCUGUAUUUCUUUAAUUCAACUGAGGAUAGUUGAAUGAAUUGAUAUAUUUUUAUUAUUAUUUUUUUAAGAUUGAAGCAUACUUUUCUCCACUAAAAUCUAUUACCUUGUGGCAGGCAUUUUAGCAGUUCAUAUCAGUAGAGGGAGUCCCAACACUAGUGAAGUCACAGAUCUCUGAAGUAGUGAAUUAUGCAUUUUUUCCUUUGGUGCUAGAUUGGAAACCAAGUUUAGAUGAGAAAAGUCCUGGCAUAGAUUUGAAGAAGUAUUGCAUUUUGCAAAUCACUUUAAAUAUUGCAACUCUAGGAUACUAGAAAUCCCUCCCACUGGUACAGCUGUGCUGUGCUCCCCUAAUUUGAAGUAUAAUUUUUUAAACUGCCUUUACAUCUUUUUUCAUUUGUUCUUCAUAACAACCGUAAGAAAUAGAUAUGAAUGUCAUCUUCCUUAAUGAUAAAACCACUGUGAAUCUGGAAAGCGCCCAGUUUCCACAACUAUUCUGCUCCAUUGCUGCUAAUUAAAUCAGGGAAUAAGAAAUAGUCAUGAGAACAGAGAAGGAAAAGCAAAGAACAAAAAGCAAGUCCUAGUAUAUUUGAACUUACAGUUGUGAUUUUCCAUUGACCAUCAUAAAUUAGAAUAGUCAUGGCCGAUGACGGAGGAGGGGGGAUGGAGGUUGGCAUAAAUUACCUAGUAUGGUCCAGUCUGUGUUGUAUAUGUUUUUGCCUUUCUUAGUAGUGUCAUUAUUUGUCUAUUGUUUUUGACAAUCAUUGUAAAAUCAGUGAAUCUCAAAGAAAAUAACAGUGACAAGUAAAAUUUUAUUAUCUCUGAGUCAAUGUAAAUUCCAAUCAAUCAUAUAACUACUAAUUACAUGUUAAGGAUAGAAAACUGAUUUGAUAAAAUUCAUAUAUGUAUUUUGUGUUCAAUAAUGCACAAUUAUGAAAUGAAACUGAGGACACAAACUGAGCUUUUCUGACUCCAGAUAAACAUUUGUUUUUAGACUUUGACAGUAAGACAUUGAAGUAUUGUCUUAUGCAUAGUUGCAAUUUUCCUUAAUGUAUUUUAAAAUACACACACAUAGCUUUUAUAAACAAAAUUACAAUUUAGGAAU